GUAACAUGCAAAAAAGCCGGCCAUAUCUGCUCAGUGGACUGUGUGGGGGAAGUCUGCCCAUUCGUGGGCGAUAAGACUGUAAGCCCCAGUGCUCACUUCAUUUUAUGAAACGGAUUUUCUUGCUGACAGUGACCUGAGGGAGGUUUUGUUAUCAGUGUGAACUACAACAAUUUGCUUCUUUCUGGACCGGAACCACUGGACUUCCCCAUUGAUCAGUGUCUGGAGGAGGGGUUUCUGGGAAUUGUGGCUGUCAAGGCCCAGAGCAGAUUACGGUGUGCGAAGAGACGGUUCGUAACGUUUUACUACCUACCAUCCAUCAAAUGGAAGAUAUUUCAGCACAGUGUCAGAAGUCAUUUCAGAGAAGGCACAUAACUGUGGAAGGAAUCGACAGAGCUGCAUGCCCACUGCUCCAUCAAUCUGCAGCAAACGCUGGAAGUUUUACAGUUUUGAAGACACAUGCUGCUCUUUGAAAACUCAGCUCUGACUCUUCUACCCCUGCCAAUACGCGUCGACAGAGAUUUGAUGGAUCGCGCCGCAAGAAGCCCACUGACGGAGCAUUGGCAUAUUUGAAAUACUCAAUUUGACUCCAAAGGAAAAUAGUGUUUCUAAGUGCCCUGGACCCAUCCAGAAACCAAAACAUAUGAACUCACUUCAAACGAUGAUAUUGAUUUUUUUUUUCUUUCACUCGGCUGUCGUUGCCAAAUAACAAGUGCAACAGAGCCUCUCUUCCCUGGAGUCGAUGGUAUUGAAACUCCCUUGGAUGCUCUAUAGUUGUGAUUAAGUAUAUGCGUGGGUAUGAAAGAAUAGGCUCCUCUCUUUA